UUCGCUCUAGGUUAAAAAAAAAAGAAAAACACAAUAUAAAGAGAAAAGAAAAGUUUUCUUUUCGCGGGUUCUUCUCGAGAAAAAACAAUUCAAAAAGAGGAAGAGAGAAAGAGGUCGGCAGAAGAGAGGGAGAAAAAAAAAAUAUUCAAAAAGAGGGACUGAAAGAAGAGAGACGCGAGGAAGACAGAGGGAGAGAGAGAAUUGAUAAAAAAGGAAAGAUCCCUCUUCUUCUUCCCCGGGAAGCCUGCUGCCUUCUGCCCGCCGGACGCCUCCGCCUCCGCCUCCGCCUCGCCGCUCCACCCGACGACCCGCGACCCGCUGCUGCC
rnacentral:lncRNA from 1 species